rnacentral:lncRNA from 1 species
UGGCCACCCACGUGCAGGCUCCGAAUGUCACCAACUUUCGAGAGGUAAGACAAUGACGCUUUUGUUUACAGUGACUACGAGACCGACAGCCUGAUCCUUCUUGUUAACAACUUUGACCUAGCGUUACAUGCGUCUCGGUUCUGGGGUAACUGGAGAAUUUUGAGCCCCGACAGCGCGGGGGGAAAACGACGUCGACCGAGGCCUUCGGAGAUACGGUGACUCCCGAGGAUUCGGAGUACGCGGUUAAAUUAUUCUACGUUACGGGCCUCCGGGACUUACGCUGCAGUAUUUAUGGGCCAGCUCCCCGAAUUUCGUAUACACGUACGUUGUACCUGAGGUCGCCUUAAUAUUCUCGUUAUACAUGGUGAUCGCGUCUCCCCGGAGUCUCCGCGAGGCCAAAAGGUUGAAGGUAGUGUGGAUGGAAGGCUGGAGGUACACACGUGAAAGACCCGUGUAUACGAUAUGUGCACACAAUCCCGUACGAGAAGGACCAAAGCGGAGAACGUGUGCGCGCUACGGAGUCCAUGGGAGUCGGGAGCGGAGAUUUAAAAUUCCGGAAGGCCGUAUAGGUACACGUGACAAAGUAGAAUCGCUUUGGGCAGCUGAUUUCAUUGUGACAUUUCGUAUUCUCCGUACUUUUCCCCGUUGAAUUUGGGCUCUGGGUUUUCCUAAAUUUUCGUCGAUUGCUGCUCGCCAACCGGGAGACCUCUAACGCCCGUCUGAAUAAAACAUAGCAAAAACAUCAAUCUGGAUUUCCCGAUCUAGAAAGUAUAACGCUCUCAGAUUUCAAGGGGACGAAACCAUCCCCCGCUCGACAGAUGGGCGAACACCUGAGAAAAAAGGUCCUCGUUAUUCUCCGAUGAAUUUCUUGUUUCGUUGAAUACGAUCGAAGAUCGGGACGAACGUUGAACCGAAGACGAAUUUUUUUUUUGGUCGUUCGUUCGGAAUAUUUUCCGCUUCAAUUUUCCCUCGAAAAUGGUGAAAAAUUUGUAAAGCGAUGCGGCCAUACGAAGCGCACAAAUCAGAAGCAGCUACGUGUGUAUAUAUAUGUAUAUUACGGAGCAUUGAACGUCCUUCGAACUCUCUGAAUACGCCCCCGAAACGGGGUGAAACCGUCGCGUCGCGGCAAGAAGGCCGAUUCACAGCCAUUACGUACAGCUUUUCAAUAAACCGCAAAAGUUCUAUCCCACUUCUCCUUCGACGAGAACUUUGAAAAAGUUCCGUAUAGGAAUUGGCCAACAGAUAAAAUACAGAUUUCGCAUUCCGGUGCCUGCUAGGAUUGGGCGUAGAAAAAAAAAAAAAAAAAAAAAAAAAA